AGAGUUUGAUCCUGGCUCAGGAUGAACGCUGGCGGCGUGCUUAACACAUGCAAGUCGAGCGAAGCACUUUUGCGGAUUUCUUCGGAUUGAAGCAACUGUGACUGAGCGGCGGACGGGUGAGUAACGCGUGGGUAACCUGCCUCAUACAGGGGGAUAACAGUUAGAAAUGGCUGCUAAUACCGCAUAAGCACACAGCUUCGCAUGGAGCAGUGUGAAAAACUCCGGUGGUAUGAGAUGGACCCGCGUCUGAUUAGCUAGUUGGUGGGGUAACGGCCUACCAAGGCGACGAUCAGUAGCCGGCCUGAGAGGGUGAACGGCCACAUUGGGACUGAGACACGGCCCAAACUCCUACGGGAGGCAGCAGUGGGGAAUAUUGCACAAUGGGGGAAACCCUGAUGCAGCGACGCCGCGUGAGUGAAGAAGUAUUUCGGUAUGUAAAGCUCUAUCAGCAGGGAAGAAAGUGACGGUACCUGACUAAGAAGCCCCGGCUAACUACGUGCCAGCAGCCGCGGUAAUACGUAGGGGGCAAGCGUUAUCCGGAUUUACUGGGUGUAAAGGGAGCGUAGACGGAUGGACAAGUCUGAUGUGAAAGGCUGGGGCUCAACCCCGGGACUGCAUUGGAAACUGCCCGUCUUGAGUGCCGGAGAGGUAAGCGGAAUUCCUAGUGUAGCGGUGAAAUGCGUAGAUAUUAGGAGGAACACCAGUGGCGAAGGCGGCUUACUGGACAGUAACUGACGUUGAGGCUCGAAAGCGUGGGGAGCAAACAGGAUUAGAUACCCUGGUAGUCCACGCCGUAAACG
rnacentral:rRNA from 1 species